rnacentral:ncRNA from 1 species
CUUCGUUCCGAGGGGAGCCCCGAAAGGGGCUGAGACACCGCGGGCCACCCGGCGCCGCCCGUCAGCGGGCGGCGAGGCCGAAGGCGAAAGCGGAAACCCUACGAACCUGAUCCGGGUCAUGCCGGCGAAGGGACAGGGACACUUCUCCCU